CCUACGGGAGGCAGCAGUAGGGAAUUUUCGGCAAUGGGCGCAAGCCUGAACGAGCAAUGCCGCGUGAACGAGGAAGGUCUUCGGAUCGUAAAGUUCUGUUGAAGGGGAAAAAGAGCGGAGAGAGGAAAUGGUCUCCGAUUGAUGUUACCCUUCGAGGAAGUCACGGCUAACUACGUGCCAGCAGCCGCGGUAAUACGUAGGUGGCGAGCGUUAUCCGGAAUGAUGGGGCGUAAAGGGUGCGUAGGCGGCCUGCUAAGUCUGGGGUGAAAGGUAACGGCUCAACCGGUACAGGCUUUGGAAACUGGCGGGCUAGAGAGCAGGAGAGGGCGGUGGAACUCCAUGUGUAGCGGUAAAAUGCGUAGAUAUAUGGAAGAACACCAGUGGCGAAGGCGGCCGCCUGGCCUGUUACUGACGCUGAGGUACGAAAGCGUGGGGAGCAAAUAGGAUUAGAUACCCGAGUAGUC
rnacentral:rRNA from 1 species